rnacentral:lncRNA from 1 species
AUGCCCUUUAUAUGCUGCUUAAUGCCCCAAGGGGGAUGUGACAGCCUUGUAUGCCUAGUAUAAUGCUCAUGUUUCAUUACAUAUAGAAAUGCUUAUCACUGCUGAAUAACCUAUUCAGGAUGCACCUGUGAUGUUUUUUUUCCCUUAAGAUGGAUGCUUGGCUCCAUGGGCUUGAGAAUUUAAGCGCAAGAACUUUACGGCAGCAAGGAGGUAUUUGGACUGUUUAGUGUCUUGUCUUGCUUAACUUCAGACAUGCACAUGUUUCUUAAUUCAGCCUCUCUCCUUGUUUUGCAGUGACUGUCUUAGAAAAGAAAACAAGGUAGCUGCAAAGAGACGUUUCUUAUUAUCUAUCACUAAAUGGACUGAAUCCCAACCAUGCAGGCAGUGGCUGUGUCUCUGUGUGUGUUAGCCAGUGAGCCCUUGCUGGAGUGAGCCAUCGUUCCUGACACCUGUAGCUCCAGUGGUGCAGAACUGUCACUGGAAUGUCACUGCCAGGCCAUGAAGGAGUUUGACAAAUUGCCUUGGAUAGGGAACCCACAGAAUGCAACUACACUUCUGUGUUGUUGAUUAUACUUAUUGGCCUGAAUUGCUCAGGAGUUGCUCAUGGUCAAGGAACUGAAGCUUCUUGAAGAUGUCCCCAGGUACCCCCCAAGAAGGACGGCACUGACUUGCUGUGAAAUCCCAAGCAGCAGAGAUGAGGAGCCAGACGGAAAAUCCGUGACACAAUUUCUACACUGCUUCUGAAGCCUUGCGCACUGAAGAGCUAUAAAUGCUACUAAAC